UAGGGAAUCUUCCACAAUGGACGCAAGUCUGAUGGAGCAACGCCGCGUGAGUGAAGAAGAUCUUCGGAUCGUAAAACUCUGUUGUUAGAGAAGAACAUGCGAGAGAGUAACUGUUCUUGUAUUGACGGUAUCUAACCAGAAAGCCACGGCUAACUACGUGCCAG
rnacentral:rRNA from 1 species